rnacentral:tRNA from 1 species
AAGACUUUAAGUUAUUCAAACUAUAUACCUUCAAAGUAUAAAAUAAUUCCAAAUUAAGUCUUA